CCCUGCAUUGGAAAGUGAUGGUGGGCUGCCCAUGCCCUGGUCAUUGAUGGUGCAGGGAAAGAAUUGCUGAAAGCGUUUCCCCGUGUUUGGAGGGUUCACUCCUGUCCCUUCCAAACUCUAGAGCUGUCACACA